rnacentral:rRNA from 1 species
GAUGAACGCUGGCGGCGUGCCUAAUACAUGCAAGUCGAGCGAACGGACGAGAAGCUUGCUUCUCUGAUGUUAGCGGCGGACGGGUGAGUAACACGUGGAUAACCUACCUAUAAGACUGGGAUAACUUCGGGAAACCGGAGCUAAUACCGGAUAAUAUUUUGAACCGCAUGGUUCAAAAGUGAAAGACGGUCUUGCUGUCACUUAUGGAUGGAUCCGCGCUGCAUUAGCUAGUUGGUAAGGUAACGGCUUACCAAGGCAACGAUGCAUAGCCGACCUGAGAGGGGGAUCGGCCACACUGGACCUGAGACACGGUCCAGACUCCUACGGGAGGCAGCAGUAGGGAAUCUUGCGCAUUGGGCGAAAGCCUGACGGAGCAACGCCGCGUGGGUGAUGAAGGUCUUCGGAUCGUAAAACUCUGUUAUUAGGAAAGAACAUAUGUGUAAGUAACUGUGCACAUCUUGACGGUACCGAAUCAGAAGGCCACGGCUAACUACGU